rnacentral:lncRNA from 1 species
UGCUUCUCGUGUUUGUGAAACCACAGGCUCUUCUCUCACAUGAUCUGUCACAUACAUGAUCUGUCACAUGUAGCCCAAGUAGAGAAGCAUUUCUAGUCUCCUGUCACCUAGCUGCUUUUCUUCAUUUCUUCCCAUUCCCUCUCCCUCUCCCUCUCUCCCUCUCUCCUUCUCUCUCUGUCUGUCUGUCUCUUUCUUCCCCACCCCCUCUCUAUUUAAUUUAUUUUAAUAUAUGUGGCUGAGUGUGGACAUACAACUGUUCCUUAACACAUACAAAUGUCAAGAGGUUUUUCACGUCUCUGCCUUUUUUUUUUUUUUUCUUCUGUUUUCACAUUAAGGAAGCCAUUUUUUCCUUCCUUGCCUCCAAUCUGGAGUUCUGGGAUACAGAUGUGAGCCACCACAUCUGGAGACUUUUUGUUUUGUUUUGUUUGGCUGUCCUGGAACCAGGCUGGCCUCGAACUCAGAAAUCUGCCUGCCUCUGCCUCCCGAGUGCUGGGAUUAAAGGCGUGCGCCACCAGGCCUGGCCCGGAGGCUUUUUAUGUGAUCUUCCUGGUUCCCAUCUGACUUCUUUGACCUUAGGCUUUCUCUAGUCCCCACCUUUCAGACACUGGGGGACAAGGGCUCACUCCCUUCCCUGGUCAACAUUCUAUAUUCAAAACUCUGAUUUCCUCUUUUAUUCCCACGACCCAACAACAAGGCUGAUAUUGCCAAGAGCUGCACCGCAGCCUUCUUACCCAAGUGGCAGGAUCUACAGCAAGCAUUUUGCAGGGUCUGUUUCAAGUAGACAUGAUGAGAGACACCCAGGCCAGUGGAAUGUAGCCCUGUGACACAGGGCGGCUUUAAACAAUCUCAGGAGAAAGCAUCUUUAGUUUUCUUCAUAACCUUCCUCCACCCUGCUGCCUGAAGUGUCAUUUUGAUCCACAAGGCCAACAUCAUGUACAGUGUCCUUCGAAUGCUGGACCAGUGUUCCAGCCUGGACAGCUCACCCGGACUUCUUUGAGAGAAAGAAACGUCUGGCGUGUUUAAAGCUCUGCUGUCUGGAGUUUUCUGUUGUUCGAUUUAGCCAAACCGAAUCUUUGGCUGUGCAGUUGGUUCAGGAACCAAGGGGUAGAACAGGCCAGACCCACCUGCCAAGUGAAUCAGCUACCCUAGAACUCUGGGUCUCCAGUAUGGGGCUUCUUUUGUUAACCUAUUAUUAUGUAAUGAUCUUCCCCCAAACUUUAUGGUUUAGCAGCCGCUUUGCCUGAUGGGUUGGCUGGGGGCAGGGGGUGGGGGGGACGGGAUGGGACUGGGUGGUUCUAGCCUUGAAUCUCUGAUGAGGUUGCAGUCCAGUGUCAGCUGGGUUUGGAGGUCUGACUGACCUGGACAUCAAAGAUGGCUUCUGCAAGGAUGCCUCCAGUUCUCUGAUGCUCUUCCUGUGGCCUCGAGUGUUGGUUACCAAGACUCAAGUCAAUUCCCAGUCAAGUCAAGAGGGAUCAAAGCUAAUCUCUCAACAAAGAAAUAAGAGACUUACAACACCUUAAAUCUACCACAAAGCCCUUGAGAGAAAAGCUGCUACCCAGGGACGCAACUGUGUUUGAGAUGUCGUCUGGCUACCUGGUCCACUGGGAUCACAAAGCAGGCAUCUAAAACAGGAGACACUAUCAGUCACUCUUCUGCUGCUGUGACCAAAACACCAUGACAGAAGCAACUAGUAAAGAGUUAAUUUUAACUUGCUGGUCCAGUGGGGUAAGAGUCCGUCAGAAAGGAGGCACGGCAGCACAUGGCAUAGCCGCAGAGCAGUGAGCUGGGUGCCCACACCUGAAAUAGCAAGCACAAAGCCGAGAGAACAAACCGGAAGUGGUGGAGGCUUUUAAACCUCAAGCCCACCCCUAGCAAUUUACUCCUUCUAGCAAGGCUGCACCCCUAAACCUCUUCAACCAGCUCACCAACUGGGGCCAAACGCCUGAGAUUGCGGGAGCAUUUCCUAUUACGUCGUCGCUACAGAGGGCAAAAUGGUGGUGCCGUUAUAAUCCCAGCACGUGAAGGGAUGAGGAUGGUUGAUUCAAGGCCAGUCUGAGCUACAGGGAGAGUCUGUCUCAAAGAAAACUCAGGGCUUAGAGAGAAGGCUCAGCCGGUAAAGCACUUGCCUCUUAAACUAAAGAUUUAAAGGAAAAAAAAAAAAAAAAAAAAAAAGCAAAGGGGAUUUGCUCCUGGAUUUGAGUGUUUAGCCUUCCCAGACCAACCUCGUCAUUACUCUGUGAAAUCCAGGCGUAUGCCAGUUCUUCCGGUCAGAUCCACACCAGGACACCUCCCCUUCCCAUCCCUUGGCUUAAGAUGACAAUACUGGUUACGUUUUAGAGAGCUUCUGUGCCACAUGGCAUCAAGUGUAUUGCGCACACAGAAAUAAGUUGAAAGACUGGAGCUUGUGUUAUGUUCUUACCACAAAUAAAACAGAGCAAUGUUGGAGUCUUGUUCCUAAACAACACGCCCAUCUCCCGGGAGAAGCAUGGAGGUCGGGAAAGCUAGAGCAGCAGACUCCUGAUUUGCCUUCUCAUGGACUGCUGAUAGGUCCUGUGUUGAGGAGGAGUGUGAUCAUGCUUGCCCUUUAUCCGUAGCAACGGGAAUGGAAGUCCCCGGCAUUCAGCGGAGAUGCAACAUAUUUGCAGAGGAGGGAUCUGUAGAAGACCCUUCAGGUGGUCGGGGCAGGCAAGGAAGUAAGCGGCAAAGAAGUGAGCAUGCGCAAAGCAGUGAGCAUGAAAACCGUUCAGACUGACGCGUCAUCAACCUGGAUCACGACCGUGAGGAGUCUGAUGCCAGGCAGUUCGUUAUCAGCAAGUUUAAAACACAGUACAAUUUGGAAAAGAAGUUUUCUGGUGUAAUACAAUCCCCCGUGCAUAAGAAAUUCGCC